rnacentral:rRNA from 1 species
UUUUAUGGAGAGUUUGAUCCUGGCUCAGGACGAACGCUGGCGGCGUGCCUAAUACAUGCAAGUCGAGCGAACAGAGAAGGAGCUUGCUCCUUCGACGUUAGCGGCGGACGGGUGAGUAACACGUGGGCAACCUACCUUAUAGUUUGGGAUAACUCCGGGAAACCGGGGCUAAUACCGAAUAAUCUGUUUCACCUCAUGGUGAAACACUGAAAGACGGUUUCGGCUGUCGCUAUAGGAUGGGCCCGCGGCGCAUUAGCUAGUUGGUGAGGUAACGGCUCACCAAGGCGACGAUGCGUAGCCGACCUGAGAGGGUGAUCGGCCACACUGGGACUGAGACACGGCCCAGACUCCUACGGGAGGCAGCAGUAGGGAAUCUUCCACAAUGGGCGAAAGCCUGAUGGAGCAACGCCGCGUGAGUGAAGAAGGAUUUCGGUUCGUAAAACUCUGUUGUAAGGGAAGAACAAGUACAGUAGUAACUGGCUGUACCUUGACGGUACCUUAUUAGAAAGCCACGGCUAACUACGUGCCAGCAGCCGCGGUAAUACGUAGG